GAAAGACCCCGUGCACCUUUACUAUAGUUUUACAUUGUAUUAUAAACUUUUAUGUGUAGCAUAGGUGGAAAGUUAGUAAAAAUUGUUUACGUAAAGUAAAUAGAUCAAACAUUAGUGAAAUACCACUUUUAAAAUUUUUUACUACUAAUUUAUAAGUAAAAGACAGUGUAUAAUGGGUAGUUUGACUGGGGCGGUCACCUCCUAAAAAGUAACGGAGGUGUACAAAAGGUAAGUUCAAAUUGAAAUAGAAAAUCAAUUUUAGAGCUCAAUAGCAUAAAUACUUGCCUAACUGUAAGAUUGACAAAUCAAACAGAAACGAAAGUUGGUUAUAGUGAUCCGAUGAUUCUGUGUGGAAAAGAUCAUCGCUCAACGAAUAAAAGGUACGCCGGGGAUAACAGGCUAAUUAUUCUCUAGAGACCCUAUCGACGGAGUAGUUUGGCACCUCGAUGUUGGAUUAUCGCAUCCUAGAGCUGUAAGCGGUUCCAAGGGUUUGGCUGUUCGCCAAGAAAGGCGGUACAUGAUCUGAGUUUAGAACGUCGUGAGACAGUUUGGUCCCUAUCUACCGUAGACUAAAAAAUUAAGAGGAGUAAACUAUAGUACGAGAGGACCUAGAAAAGUGAAUCUAUGGUGUAUCGGUUGUUAUACCCAUAGCAUGCCGAAUAGCUACAUUCAUAAAAUAUAAUCGCUGAAAGCAUCUAAGCGAGAAUUUAACCUCGAGAUAGU
rnacentral:rRNA from 1 species